rnacentral:sRNA from 1 species
CCUGAAGCCCCCGGGAACAACCCCCACACCCUGUAUGCUCAUCUCAUCGGGCAUUGUGACCACCUCUCUGAUGAGAUCAGCAUCACCACACUCCGGCUGUUUGAGGAGCUGCUGCAGAAGCCCCACGAGGGGAUCAUCCGCAGCCUGGUCCUGCGCAACCUUGAGGGCCGCCCUUACGUGGCCUGGGGCUCACCAGAGCCUGAGAGCUAUGAGGACACCCUAGACCUGGAGGAAGACCCCUACUUCACCGACAGCUUCCUGGAUUCCGGCUUUCAACCUCGCGCAAAGCCUCGCCUAGCUCCUGCUACCAGUUACGAUGGCAAAACAGCAGUGACCGAGAUCGUCAACAGGUGGGGAGCAAGUUAGGCAGUCUGAACCACUUGAGUUUUAUUUUAUUUUAUUUUAUUUUUUGAGAUAGAGUCUUGCUCCGUCACCCAGGAUGGAGUGCAGUUGUACAAUCUCGGCUCACUGCAACCUCCACCUCCCGGGUUCCGGAUCCAAGCGAUUCCUGUGCCUCAGCCUCCCGAGUACCUGGGAUUACAGACAUGCACCACCACAC